rnacentral:rRNA from 1 species
GGGCCCGCACAAGCGGUGGAGCAUGUGGUUUAAUUUGAUGCAACGCGAAGAACCUUACCAGGGUUUGACAUAGUACGAAGUUUUUUGAAAAAAAAGCCACCUUCGGGAACGUACAUACAGGUGGUGCAUGGCUGUCGUCAGCUCGUGUCGUGAGAUGUUGGGUUAAGUCCCGCAACGAGCGUAACCCUUGUUUUUAGUUGCCUUUCGAGGAUAUUUAGAAAGACUGCCGAUUAUAAAUCGGAGGAAGGUAAGGACGACGUCAAGUCAUCAUGCCCCUUACACUCUGGGCUACACACGUGCUACAUUGGGUAGAACAAUAAGUUGCUAAGUUGCGAAACCAAGCG